rnacentral:rRNA from 1 species
GAUGAACGCUGGCGGCGUGCCUAAUACAUGCAAGUCGAGCGAACAGACGAGGAGCUUGCUCCUCUGACGUUAGCGGUGGACGGGUGAGUAACACGUGGAUAACCUACCUAUAAGACUGGGAUAACUUCGGGAAACCGGAGCUAAUACCGGAUAACAUGUUGAACCGCAUGGUUCAACAGUGAAGGACGGUCUUGCUGUCACUUAUAGAUGGCUCCGCGCCGCAUUAGCUAGUUGGUAAGGUAACGGCUUACCAAGGCAACGAUGCGUAGCCGACCUGAGGGGGUGAGCGGCCACACUGGAACUGAGACACGGUGCAGACUCCUACGGGAGGCAGCAGUAGGGAAUCUUCCGCAAUGGGCGAAAGCCUGACGUAGCAACGCCGCGUGAGUGAAGAAGGUCUUCGGAUCGUAAAACUCUGUUAUUAGGGAAGAACAAAUGUGUAAGUAACUAUGCACGUCUUGACGGUACCUAAUCAGAAAGCCACGGCUAACUACGUGCCAGCCGCCGCAGUAA